AUUGAACGCUGGCGGCAGGCCUAACACAUGCAAGUCGAGCGGUAGAGAGAAGCUUGCUUCUCUUGAGAGCGGCGGACGGGUGAGUAAUGCCUAGGAAUCUGCCUGGUAGUGGGGGACAACGUGGGGAAACCCACGCUAAUACCGCAUACGCCCUACGGGGGAAAGGAGGGGAUCUUCGGACCUUUCGCUAUGAGAUGAGCCUGCGUUAGAUUAGCUAGUUGGUAGGGUAAAGGCCUACCAAGGCAACGAUCGGUAGCCGGCCUGAGAGGGCGGACGGCCACACUGGGACUGAGACACGGCCCAGACUCCUACGGGAGGCAG
rnacentral:rRNA from 1 species